rnacentral:snoRNA from 1 species
UGCUGUGAUGAUGUAAUUUGCGUCUUAUCCAGUGCUCAGCGACAGUUGCCUGCUGUCAGCCAGCUGGCACUGCUGAACUGAAGACCUCUUCAUUCUGAGCA